rnacentral:snoRNA from 1 species
CUCCGACAGAAAAUGAUGUGAUGAUUGAGUAUUCACAUGCAUGUGUGAGAUGUGUCACUCUCAAACCUUAUUGCAACAUGGGCACAUUACUCAUCUGACA